UACAGAGGGGGCAAGCGUUGUUCGGAAUUACUGGGCGUAAAGAGUGUGUAGGCGGUGCUCUAAGUCUGUUGUGAAAUCUCCCGGCUUAACCGGGAGGGUGCGGCGGAAACUGGAGUGCUUGAGGGUGGGAGAGGUAAGUGGAAUUCCGAGUGUAGAGGUGAAAUUCGUAGAUAUUCGGAAGAACACCAGUGGCGAAGGCGACUUACUGGACACAUAUUGACGCUGAGGUGCGAAAGCGUGGGGAGCAAACAGG
rnacentral:rRNA from 1 species